ACUUUGUCCUAGUGUGUUAUUUUAUAUGAGAAUCAGGUCAGGAUGGGGACAGAGCAGCCUUAAUCAUUUAAAGUAAUGUCAUUAGGGUAACAGAGUUAA
rnacentral:SRP_RNA from 1 species